rnacentral:rRNA from 1 species
UACGUAGGGGGCGAGCGUUGUCCGGAUUUACUGGGCGUAAAGGGUGAGUAGGCGGUUGUAUAUGUCAGGUGUAAAAGGCUAUGGCUUAACCAUAGUUAGCACUUGAAACUGUAUGACUUGAGUGCAGGAGAGGUAAGUGGAAUUCCUAGUGUAGCGGUGAAAUGCGUAGAUAUUAGGAGGAACACCAGUGGCGAAGGCGACUUACUGGACUGUAACUGACGCUGAGUCACGAAAGCGUGGGUAGCAAACAGGAUUAGAUACCCUGGUAGUCCACGCUGUAAACGAUGAGUGCUAGGUGUUGGCCAGCGAUGGUCAGUGCCGCAGUAAACGCAUUAAGCACUCCGCCUGGGGAGUACGUACGCAAGUAUGAA